GUCAUACCUUCUGAUCCACAAAUGCCCUCUAUCCUUAUAUCUGAUUCAUCUCUUUUAUGUGCAUGUGAUGCAGACAACAAAUAGGUUCAAAAAUGAAAAGCAAGGUCAAAGGAACCUGAAGUUAUCAUCAAUGUCAGGCAAGUCAUGUUGACACCUUCUCUGGAAUCAAAGUCUAAAAAUGUUCAUCCACAUCAAUGAUAUUUUAUGAUUUUAAAUUCAGCUAAAAUGGAUUGCAAUAGCAGCAAAUGGGUCUUUUUUCCCAGCAUAUUUUUGGUAGUCUUUUCAAGUCAAAGUAGCA
rnacentral:misc_RNA from 1 species